rnacentral:lncRNA from 1 species
UCUCUACUCUUUAAGACACUUCAAAAUGGAGCCCCAAGUAUGCUGAAGUGGGAACUGGGGGGACUUUACUCUUUUGUAGUACUCUUAAAUUGCUAAAGAUUAAACUUGCUCAUGUGGAUACUAUGUGGAGUCAUAACAUAUCUUUACUUUGUGAUUUUAGUAUUUAUGGGACCUGAAGAAUUACUUGUUCUCUAGUGAGAUUUUUCAGAUACGACACAGAAAAGCAGGGAGAAACUGAUACAAACAACCCUCUGUUGAGAGAAUUCUGAGAGUGUCUUACCACAGCUCUCCAGAGCAUAUUAUUUUGCACCUCUUCUGUGAAGGCCGGCAAAAUAGCUUCUUGAAAGGUACUCUUUUAAGUAGUACAACUCAGAACAAUCUUUUUACAGUUGUGUUUUGUAUAAAUAUCCUGGAUACCUACAUGGUAACUAUAGUACAACCUGAUAGUAUCAAUCUGUUUUUAGGGGGAAGAUUUCUUACCUACCGGUCAGGGCUGUUGUCACAGUUAUGGGAGGGAAAUCAAGUACAUAUGCAUUAAAUGUACUAUGUAUCAAGUACGUAGCAUCAUAGUGUGCAAGAUUGGAUGGUGAAUACUUGGUACCCCCAAUCCAUAAGUCAGAGUAUUUUGCUUUUGCUUAAAUUACCAAGCGCUGUAUGUUUUGAUUUUUAAAAAAAGUUUUUCUCUUACUUCUGAAAAUGAAUGUUUUUAAAAGUGAUGUUAAGCAAUUUCACACAAAUAAUGGAACAUCACAUUAAUCUGUUUAAAAACUCCUUUGUCAGAUAUGUAUAGUGUUUUCUGGAUGGCUUCUCGUGUGCUUCAAAGACCCUCUUAUGUUUGCUAGGUUCUCUGUUAAUGGAAACUGAAGUUUGUAAGAGUUUAAGGCCAAACGUAAGAGGUAGGUAUACCAUUGUGUUUUUUUGCUCAGAAAUUGUUAACUACUUCCUCUAUUAUAAAACAAAGAUGACAAAAUUACAUACUCCGCCUUGUAUAAUAGCAAAUAGACACUUCUUUGUAAAAUUUUUCCAAGAGCUUAUUAGUUCUUGACACCGAUAAAUUGUUUUCCAUGGUUGCAGUGUUACAAGGUACACAGAGAUUUUGACUUUUCAUAAUUACUACUAUAGAAAAGAAGAAUGUUUUGUGGGGCAUGUAG